AAGAAACUGGGGUCUCUCCCCUGCUUAUUUGUUUUCUACACCAUCUCUGUCUUCUCCAAGUCCUGCCCCAGGUCUCUCUAUUCCCAGCCCAAGUCCUGCCCCAGGUCUCUCUAUUCCCAGCCCAAGUCCUGCCCCAGGUCUCUCUAUUCCCUGUCCAAGUCCUGCCCCAGGUCUCUCUAUUCCCAGCCCAAGUCCUGCCCCAGGUCUCUCUAUUCCCAGCCCAAGUCCUGCCCCAGGUCUCUCUAUUCUCAGUCCAAGUCCUGCCCCAGGUCUCUCUAUUCCCUGUCCAAGUCCUGCCCCAGGUCUCUCUAUUCCCUGUCCAAGUCCUGCCCCAGGUCUCUCUGUUCCCUGUCCAAGUCCUGCCCCAGGUCUCUCUGCUCCCAGCCCAAGUCCUGCCCCAGGUCUCUCUGCUCCCAGCCCAAGUCCUGCCCCAGGUCUCUCUAUUCCCAGUCCAAGUCCUGCCCCUGGUCUCUCUAUUCCCAGUCCAAGUCCUGCCCCAGGUCUCUCUGUUCCCAGUCCAAGUCCUGCCCCAGGUCUCUCUAUUCCCUGUCCAAGUCCUGCCCCAGGUCUCUCUAUUCCCAGUCCAAGUCCUGCCCCAGGUCUCUCUAUUCCCAGUCCAAGUCCUGCCCCAGGUCUCUCUAUUCCCAGUCCAAGUCCUGCCCCAGGUCUCUCUGUUCCCAGUCCAAGUCCUGCCCCAGGUCUCUCUGUUCCCAGUCCAAGUCCUGCCCCAGGUCUCUCUGCUCCCAGCCCAAGUCCUGCCCCAGGUCUCUCUAUUCCCAGUAAGUCCUGCCCCUGGUCUCUCUAUUCCCAGCCCAAGUCCUGCCCCAGGUCUCUCUAUUCCCAGUAAGUCCUGCCCCUGGUCUCUCUAUUCCCAGUCCAAGUCCUGCCCCAGGUCUCUCUGUU